GACGAACGCUGGCGGCGUGCUUAACACAUGCAAGUCGAACGGUUAACCUCUUCGUAGGGGAUCAGUGGCGGACGGGUGGGUAACACGUGGCCAACCUGCCCCCGGCUCUGGGAUAACUCCAAGCAAUUGGGGCUAAUACCGGCUGUUCACCCCUUCCCGCAUGGGUGGUGGUGCAACGGGUUUCCGGCUGGGGAUUGGCCCUCGGCCUAUCAGCUUGUUGGUUGGGUAGUGGCCUACCGAGGCGGCGGCUGGUAGCCGGCCUGAGAGGGUUGACGGCGACACUGGGACUGAGACAGGGAGCAGAGGGCUACGGGAGGCAGCAGGGGGGAAUAUGGCGCAAUGGGGGGAAGUCUGACGCAGAGGUGCCGGGAGGGGGAAGAAGGUUAUCGUGGGGGAAACCGCAGUAAGCAGGGACGAAGCGGAAGUGACGGUACCUGCAGAAGAAGCACCGGCCAACUACGUG
rnacentral:rRNA from 1 species